GUGGGAAAAAAGAUUGUACUAGAGUACAAUGUUACGACACAACCAGUAGGAUGUAGUGCAAACCGAUUUAGGCGGCAUAUAGCCAAGAUAGUAAGGAGUAGGAACUAUGUACAUAUGCAUGACGAAUGGCGAAAGGUAGAUAAACAGAUAAAGCUGGACAUGUGGGCGGCUUUGAUGUGGAGUUCUAUCUCCCAAAAAAUGUAGAUCUGGAAAAGGCACAGCAUGAAACGUUCUAGGAUAUGGGACGUAAGCAUAGGCAGUGGAAGCAUAAAUUAAAAGUCGCGCUUGAUAUUCAACCGGGCGAUACGCCAUCAAGCAUCCGUGAGAAUGCUGAACGGAUGAAGCGAAUGCAAGAGCUGAAUGACACUCCCCAGUGCUUAGGAUCAAAAAGCUAUGCCAGGUUCACACACGAUGAGGCAAGCAUGUCUGGCCAUGUUCCGACUUGAACAGAACAAUUUGUCAAGACGCAUACAAGGAGGGACGGGAGUUACCCAACCGAGUGUACGAGGGAGCUAUGUAUACACAUAGCGUGACUGAGGGCACGGUGCGAUGGGCACCAAAUGAUGCGUAUGAACAGGUUAUUGGCAGGAGAGGGUUUGGUAAGUUCGGUCGAAUGUUUUGCCUGUACCGGGGAUGGCACAUUCAUACUACACCCCUUCUUAGACCCCGAUCGUCCAGGCAAAGGCAAAGUUCCUCCGCACAGGAAGAAAGGAUGGCAUUGAUGGAGAUCGAGUUAUGGUUCAAAAAGCAUCAAAUUGAGCCUUGGAGUUACGGUUGAGCAAGAUUGAGUCGAUGAUUGCCUUAGAAGUACGUCCCGCGACCCAAGUUACUCCGUAGUCCCCAGUGCC